AAGAGCCGAAUCUGGGAAAUCUGGACGUUCGGUUCUGUGAGGGGCAUUAAAUACCAAAUGGAGGUAUAAAAGAUGUCUACUCGAC
rfam:Candidatus Desantisbacteria bacterium CG1_02_38_46 cg1_0.2_scaffold_5176_c, whole genome shotgun sequence.